GUACGGCUGUAGCUGUAGAGUGCUACUCGUACUGCUGUAGCUGUAGAGUGCUACUCGUAUGGCUGUAGCUGUAGAGUGCUACUCGUACUGCUGUAGCUGUAGAGUGCUACUCGUAUGGCUGUAGCUGUAGAGUGCUACUCGUACUGCUGUAGCUGUAGAGUGCUACUCGUACGGCUGUAGCUGUAGAGUGCUACUCGUAUGGCUGUAGCUGUAGAGUGCUACUCGUACUGCUGUAGCUGUAGAGUGCUACUCGUAUGGCUGUAGCUGUAGAGUGCUACUUCCAGGCUUCCAGCCCCCCCCCCCAUCACUCCCACUCUACUUCCAGGCUUCCACCCCCCCCCAUCACUCCCACUCUACUUCCAGGCUUCCAGCCCCCCCAUUGACAUUAACGACUAAGAAAAACAGCCCGUCAGUAUCCUUAAAGAAUGUCCAGUAAGACAAGUUGACUCCAGCUCAUCUGCCUGAUCUUUGUGCUGCUACUGCCAAUGCUUUUUGCCUUACAGGUUACCUAUUUGUGUAUUGUUUUUAAAACCAGUAAUAAUGGUCUAUUUAACUGAAUGAAUCUAGGAGGUUUUAGAUUGUGUUUUUAGCUCUUGGUUUUUUGGUGGUGGUGGUGGUGGGGGGGGGGGGGGUCACUGUGGAACCGUGCUGUGUGGGCUGAGGCCAGUGGGAUAGCUGGAGGGAAGGGGAAUCUAAUCAGUGUCUUGUCCAUACUGAGCCUCCUGACACCUUUUUAUAGGCCAUCCUUGGUUAGAGCACCAACCAGUAGGACUACUGGACUGGUCUUGGGUCAGUCCUAUCACUCCAGGUCAUCCUUGGUUAGAGCACCAACCAGUAGGACUACUGGACUGGUCUUGGGUCAGUCCUAUCCACUGGUCUUUGGUCAGUCCUAUCCACUGGUCUUGGGUCAGUCCUAUCCACUGGUCUUGGGUCAGUCCUAUCCACUGGUCUUGGGUCAGUCCUAUCCACUGGUCUUGGGUCAGUCCUAUCCACUGGUCUUGGGUCAGUCCUAUCCACUGGUCUUGGGUCAGUCCUAUCCACUGGUCUUGGGUCAGUCCUAUCACUCCAGAUCAGACGAGUUCUGAGCACGUUAGUUUCCGUUUCAUCAAAGAACAGCGUAGCCUACAGUUGUAACAGUUGCAAAGAAAGACCGUCUCUUAAAGGUGAGACAACCAGUUAACCCGUUACCCACAACACAGCUUUGAGCUUAGUGUAGAGAGCCAAGAUCUAGAACCCUGUAGCCAUGCUUGGUUUCAUCAAGGAAAUGUAUACCAAGGUGAUGCAGAAGCUCUCUCUAGUGUAUCUAUUGGCUAUCAGUGGCAGAAGGCUUCAGGACCGCUGGUGUGCUUCCUAGCUGGUCCUCAGCCCCAGAUCAUGAUGGUACUCAGGCUGUCCAGCAGUGAUGUGGGUUUGUACAGUACCUUGUUAUUUACUACUGAAUCCCUGAACUUUGUACAGCAAAACGAGAAAGAACGAUCGCAUGGAUACUUUGUUACUGUAAUUAAUAACCUAUACUGUAUAUUAUGACUUUUCUGAUAACUUACAUGACAUCAAUGAAACUUACUUACUUACCAACAGCAAGAAACUAUUUCAGUUUUACUUUCAGCUCAUCUAAGCAUCUCCAUUUUUCUUGUCGACGAGAAGAAGGUUGUUUGAUUUAUCAUUGCUGUUGUUUUUUUACGGUUGCUAGGAGAGAAGAAAAUGACUCAAAUAAACAAAUAAUCAUCAUAA